rnacentral:tRNA from 1 species
GCGCCCGUAGCUCAGCUGGAUAGAGCGCAGGAUUGCGGUUCCUGAGGUCAGAGGUUCAACUCCUCUCGGGCGCACCA